rnacentral:rRNA from 1 species
AUUAUUGAACGCUGGCGGCAGGCCUAACACAUGCAAGUCGAACGGUAACAGGAAGAAGCUUGCUUCUUUGCUGACGAGUGGCGGACGGGUGAGUAAUGUCUGGGAAACUGCCUGAUGGAGGGGGAUAACUACUGGAAACGGUAGCUAAUACCGCAUAACGUCGCAAGACCAAAGAGGGGGACCUUCGGGCCUCUUGCCAUCGGAUGUGCCCAGAUGGGAUUAGCUAGUAGGUGGGGUAAAGGCUCACCUAGGCGACGAUCCCUAGCUGGUCUGAGAGGAUGACCAGCCACACUGGAACUGAGACACGGUCCAGACUCCUACGGGAGGCAGCAGUGGGGAAUAUUGCACAAUGGGCGCAAGCCUGAUGCAGCCAUGCCGCGUGUAUGAAGAAGGCCUUCGGGUUGUAAAGUACUUUCAGCGGGGAGGAAGGGAGUAAAGUUAAUACCUUUGCUCAUUGACGUUACCCGCAGAAGAAGCACCGGCUAACUCCGUGCCAGCAGCCGCGGUAAUACGGAGGGUGCAAGCGUUAAUCGGAAUUACUGGGCGUAAAGCGCACGCAGGCGGUUUGUUAAGUCAGAUGUGAAACCCCCGGGCUCAACCUGGGAACUGCAUCUGAUACUGGCAAGCCUUGAGUCUCGUAGAGGGGGGUAGAAUUCCAGGUGUAGCGGUGAAAUGCGUAGAGAUCUGGAGGAAUACCGGUGGCGAAGGCGGCCCCCCUGGACGAAGACUGACGCUCAGGUGCGAAAGCGUGGGGAGCAAACAGGAUUAGAUACCCUGGUAGUCCACGCCGUAAACGAUGUCGACUUGGAGGUUGUGCCCUUGAGGCGUGGCUUCCGGAGCUAACGCGUUAAGUCGACCGCCUGGGGAGUACGGCCGCAAGGUUAAAACUCAAAUGAAUUGACGGGGGCCCGCACAAGCGGUGGAGCAUGUGGUUUAAUUCGAUGCAACGCGAAGAACCUUACCUGGUCUUGACAUCCACAGAACUUUCCAGAGAUGGAUUGGUGCCUUCGGGAACUGUGAGACAGGUGCUGCAUGGCUGUCGUCAGCUCGUGUUGUGAAAUGUUGGGUUAAGUCCCGCAACGAGCGCAACCCUUAUCCUUUGUUGCCAGCGGUCCGGCCGGGAACUCAAAGGAGACUGCCAGUGAUAAACUGGAGGAAGGUGGGGAUGACGUCAAAUCAUCAUGGCCCUUACGACCAGGGCUACACACGUGCUACAAUGGCGCAUACAAAGAGAAGCGACCUCGCGAGAGCAAGCGGACCUCAUAAAGUGCGUCGUAGUCCGGAUUGGAGUCUGCAACUCGACUCCAUGAAGUCGGAAUCGCUAGUAAUCGUGGAUCAGAAUGCCACGGUGAAUACGUUCCCGGGCCUUGUACACACCGCCCGUCACACCAUGGGAGUGGGUUGCAAAAGAAGUAGGUAGCUUAACCUUCGGGAGGGCGCUUACCACUUUGUG